AUAAAGUUCUCUUUACAAAAACAGGCAUCUGGUCAGAUUGGGUCCACGGGCUGUUUAUUGAUACACACUAAACACAAUUUUCUCCUAAUCCUAGACCCAGCAUUUUCUGCAUUACACUAGCCCAGUGGUCCUUUCUGAAACUACACUGUUCAAGUUACAGACAUAUUUAAAUGUUUAAAUUUAAAAUGUUAAAUUUAACAUUUUAACAUGUUUAAAUGUUCAUAGACACAUACAACCUGCACUUUUACUCUUUGAGAAAUGAAUGCAGUAAAUUUACUUAGCUUUCUGAGGGAAAUGAUAGCCUGAAGGCAUGACGUUUUCAAACCCUUUAUAAUUUACAGCAAUCUUCAGUGGUUAAAGCAAAACUGUACAUCUAUAAAGGAAUUCAAGAGAAGUGCAGGAAAAGGAUGACAAAAGGUAAAUCCCUAGCUACCACCAGAAUGUUAUCUAUCUAAAACUGCCAACUUACGAAUAGGUAAAACUUAUGGUAAAAUUAUAAAGGUGAGCACAACAGGAACUGGAAUCUAUUCUGAAGGGCAAUAUAAUGUACUUCCAAGAAUUCUAGAUUUUUUUUUUUUUUUGGAGACAGUUUCACUCGUCACCCAGGCUUG
rnacentral:lncRNA from 1 species